rnacentral:lncRNA from 1 species
CAUUGCACUCCAGCCUGGGUGACAGAGCAAGACUCCAUCUUAAAAACAAAAACAGAAAGAAAAUUAUCAAAUAACAUUAAAAUUUAAAUCUCACUUCAUCAAAAGUCACCGCAGAAAAGUCAAGCUCCUUGAUGAGAUAAAAUAUAAAAACUUCAAUAAAUCAAUAAUAAAACUAUUCAAAAAACCCAAAUGAACAAAGAGCACAAACAUGCAAAUUGUAAGAAUAUAGAAAUAGUAAAAAUACCAUUUUCAUAAAUUUGAAAAUUUUUAAGAAUUCUUCUAUUUAUCCUUUAAGGAAAUGGAACCACAGGACAAAUAAUGACAACAAAGAUGUUCAACCCAAUUAACAGUCAUGGAAAUGCAGUGAAAAGGCAACCUAUAGAAUGGGAGGA